rnacentral:rRNA from 1 species
AUUGAACGCUGGCGGCAGGCUUAACACAUCCAAGUCGAGCGAGCGGCGGACGGGUGAGUAAUGUCUGGGAAACUGCCUGAUGGAGGGGGAUAACUAAUGGAAACGGUAGCUAAUACCGCAUACCAUCAGAUGUGCCCAGAUGGGAUUAGCUAGUAGGUGGGGUAAUGGCGAACUUAGGCGACGAUCCCUCGCUGGUCGGAGCGGAUGACCAGCAACACUGGAACUGAGCCACGUUCCGUACUCCUACGGGAGGCAGCAGUGGGGAAUAUUGCACAAUGGGCGCAAGCCUGAUGCAGCCAUGCCGCGUGUGUGAAGAAGGCCUUCGGGUUGGAAAGCACUUUCAGCGAGGAGGCGUUACUCGCAGAAGAAGCACCGGCUAACUCCGUGCCAGCCGCCGCGGUAAUAC